CAGAAUCUCACUCAUUUGUCCAUCAAUGCCAAUUAACUAUUGGUGUUGAUUUUGUGAAUAAGUAGUAUGAAAACCACCUCUUGACACUCUUGUGUGUAAUCUUCACUUGAGGAAUUGUAAAACACACACAUUAACACCACAAAACUAAGAUAUAAAAGCCAUUUAUUCAAAAAAAUGUGGUGGUGUCAAAUCACAUACACAAGCCAAUAUUGAGCUACAAACACAGACCAAACAGUUCUAUAAACAGAAAUUGGAGUGUUCAUAUAUCAUAGUACCUGAAAAAGACCGUUAAUAAAAAGGAGUCCAUAAGUAUUUCGUUUCGCUUUUCUUAUAUGGCUCCUUGCUGGAUGUCUUUGCCUAAGUUAGAGUACAAUGAGCCAGAGGUAGAGUCCCAAGAAAAGCAUCUAAUGCCUCAGGGCUCCAUUAAAAACCUUUAUUCUUCUAAACAAAAGGAAAGCCUAGCCUAAAAUUUUCUGUAUGACACUGAAGUAAAGCCUCUUUGCUUGAACAGUAUGGCAUUCCCAAGCGCAUUUGGCAUUAACCUAGAUUGAGUCUGUGCUUUGUUGAACCGUCUUAGUUCUCCUCCCCUUCAGAUUCUGAUUCUUCUUCAGCAUUUUGCAGCCACUCGACAAACUUCUUCAUCUGGUCAAGAAAGACACUUUUGCCUUUAGCAACAUGUGCUUCUUUAUACCACUUGAGAAUUGCUUCUUCACUCAGAACAUCAGCUUUAUAAAAGAGUACCACUAUCUUCUGAAAGGCUUUCAUGAAGUGGAUGUUGUCAUAACAGUACUCCUGCACCUUCUGGAGAAGGAUUAACUCCGACUGGCCUUGAGUGCUGAAGACAGCAAGCAGGGGGGCAUAUUGCUUUAGAUGUUUGAGGGCUUGCUCUGCAACCAGCUCUUCUUUCUUGUUCCAUUCCACAGCAUUCAUUACACAGGUCCACAGGAGACCAAUCACUGCUGGCUCAGGCAGCUCGUUUCUUUUCAUUUCUUCUUUUACAUAAAGCACCAUCUCCUUAAUUGGGCAUUCCUGAGAGAGACGUUCUUGUAGCUCUUUUUGAAGUUCUUUACGAGUCCCCAGUGACUGCUGAACUCUAAGAAAAUCUGAGAGCUCUUUUAGACCUGCUUCAGUGAAAUACUUGGCAAAAUGAUCCACAUUCUGCCGGUUGGCAGGAAAUAGUUCUAGCAAUCUCUUAUCAAGGUUGGCUUUUCUUAAAGCAGAGGUAACAGAAUUGGCAUCCUUCUCUGCCAUCCAUGCUUUAAAAAGUUUUACAGCAAAAGAGGCUGCAAUCCCUUCUUUGACUAUGUUGUCAGUGAAGAGGCUUGUUAAAAUGGUAGCAGGAAGAGUCCCAUUGGCUAAAAGGAUCCCAGAAAGCAUCGCCAAUUUUGUCUGUUCUGUUUCAGAGAAGGCUUUAAGGAACAGCAGGAGCUUUUUGAUUUCAUCUUCAAAUGCUUUCUCCAGAUAUUUGUAUCUCCUGAUAAGCUUGUUGAAGACCUGAGCAUAGUUUCGGAUGGCAUCGUGAUCUUCUUCUGCAAAAAAUACACAGUGACGGGUCAUCUUGGUCUUGUCAUUGUCAUCUAUGCGUGUGCCUCCAGGAGCAAGCAUGCUGCCAGCUACCAAAAUAUCAAAGAGAGUGUCAGCAUAGCGGCGAUAAUCAAGCCGUGAGCCUGCUGAAUCCAGGAACUUGGCUAUGGCCUCCAGGUCACUCCCAGCUUCAUUGAGACCUUGGACAAUAGUAUCCCUGAAGACUGUGGGUUCAAAUUUCUCUUUUUCAUCCCUCUUCCUAGUUUUGAACCGCUGGCCUGUUAGCACCGGCUUCUGAUUCUUAUUCAUAAAAUUUCUGUCGGGUGGGUGCGCGCUCCGGGAGGACAGGCGCGGCGGCGGCACUGGCAGCGGCAGACAAUGGAGGAGUGAAGGACGGACACAUUGACACACGGCGCCGCUGCGGCCGCCCCCUCCGCCCGGCCGUGCCACUGUCGGCUGCUCGCGGGGGGGACGGGGCAGAGAGAGCGGAGAGGAAACCCGAAAGAAAGGGCAAAAGGAAGAGGAGAACCCGCUGUUCGGCUUUUAUAGAGGGAACAGAA
rnacentral:lncRNA from 1 species